rnacentral:rRNA from 1 species
UACGUAGGGUGCAAGCGUUGUCCGGAAUUAUUGGGCGUAAAGGGCUCGUAGGCGGUCCAUCGCGUCGGGAGUGAAAAGCUGGGGCUUAACCCCAGUCCUGCUUCCGAUACGGGCAGGCUCGAGUUCGGUAGGGGAGACUGGAAUUCCUGGUGUAGCGGUGAAAUGCGCAGAUAUCAGGAGGAACACCGGUGGCGAAGGCGGGUCUCUGGGCCGAUACUGACGCUGAGGAGCGAAAGCGUGGGGAGCGAACAGG